GAUCGGACCAUCACAAUUGGCAAAGGUACUGCCUGAUAGAAGCCCCUCACUAUCCAUUCCUACCAUUUUUCCCUCUAUAGGCCAGACCAUCAUUCCAUUGGACUUCAAGCCACAUCUAUCAUCAUCUCUUCUGAAUAAGAAAAGGAAAAAGUUUAAAGAGGCGCAAGAGUCAGCUAGGAAGGAUGUGGAGCGAACAUUUGGUGUACUUAAGAGACGUUGGCAAGUACUAACGGUCAGGGCAAGGUCAUAUGAGGUGAAAAGGUUACAGCACGUAAUGUAUGCAUGUAUCAUAUUGCAUAAUAUGAUUCUUGAAGACAAAGGAAGGGUGAUAUGCCGGUACAACGAAAAUGAAGUUUUGCCAAAUGUCGAAGGAGUAGCCGUUGGUACACAAGAGUAUAGGGUGAAUAGAAGAGAAGUACACAAUCGCGACAUUCAUCACACUCUUCGUGUUGACUUGGUGGACCACAUUUAUAGGGCUCAUAUUCAGCAUCCGUUAGAGUUUUCUAUGAUGAUUUGUUUGACGAAUCAGACGAGGAUUCUGAUAUGUUCGUCGACAGUGAAGAUUCCGACGACGAGAGUGACGCUGGGGAGAAUGAUGAAGACGAUCAAGGCGAUGACGAGGACGAUGAGGGCGAUAACGAAGACGAUGAUUCCGAGUGAAGUAUUUUGGUUUAAAUAAAAUUAGGAUUUUAAUUAUCUUUUCUAUCUUGUGGGUUGUUUUAUUUUUCUUUUUAUUUUUCUACUUAUUUAAAUAUUAGGUUUAAUGUAAUUUUUAUUUUAAUUAAUGAAAUACUUUUUAUUUUUAAUUAAA